rnacentral:snRNA from 1 species
GUGCUCACUUUGGCAGCACAUAUACUAAAAUUGGAACGAUACAGAGAAGAUUAGCAUGGCCCCUGUGCAAGGAUGACAUGCAAAUUCGUGAAGCGUUCCAUAUUAAA